AUGCCAAGACUAGGAGCAGCUCCAGUCACAAAUGGCCUCUACAGUCGUCUAGUCUCCUGUUUACGUUUGUGUU
rnacentral:sRNA from 1 species